AACGAACGCUGGCGGCAGGCUUAACACAUGCAAGUCGAACGCCCCGCAAGUGGAGUGGCAGACUGGUGAGUAACGCGUGGGAAUCUACCCUGAACUGCGGGAUAGCUCCGGGUAACUGGAAUUAAUACCGCAUGUGCCCUAAGGGGCAAAGGUUUAUCGGUUCAGGAUGAGCCCGCGUCCGAUUAGCUAGUUGGUGGGGUAAAGGCCUACCAAGGCGACGAUCGGUAGCUGGUCUAAGAGGAUGAUCAGCCACAUUGGGACUGAGACACGGCCCAAACUACUACGGGAGGCAGCAGUGGGGAAUAUUGGACGAUGGGGGCAAGCCUGAUCCAGCCAUGCGGGGUGAGUGAUGAAGGCCGUAGGGUUGUACAGCUCUUUCACAGGGGACGAUAAUGACGGUACCCGGAGAAGAAGCCCCGGCUAACUUCGUG
rnacentral:rRNA from 1 species